UACGUAGGGUGCAAGCGUUGUCCGGAAUUAUUGGGCGUAAAGAGCUCGUAGGCGGUUUGUCGCGUCUGCUGUGAAAACCCGAGGCUCAACCUCGGGCCUGCAGUGGGUACGAGCAGACUAGAGUGCGGUAGGGGAGAUUGGAAUUCCUGGUGUAGCGGUGGAAUGCGCAGAUAUCAGGAGGAACACCAAGGGCGAAGGCAGAUCUCUGGGCCGUAACUGACGCUGAGGAGCGAAAGCAUGGGGAGCGAACAGG
rnacentral:rRNA from 1 species